rnacentral:misc_RNA from 1 species
AACGCACAUUGCGCCCGCCAGUAUUCUGGCGGGCAUGCCUGUUCGAGCGUCAUUUCAACCAUCAAGCGCCUUGCUUGUGUUGGGGCCCUGCGGCUGCCGCAGGCCCCUAAAUCCAGUGGCGGGCUCGUCGUGGUACCGAGUGCAGUAAACAUCCUCGCUCAGGGAACCCGACGGGUGCCGGCCGUGAAACCCCCCCUCCUUAAGGUUGACCUCGGAUCAGGUAGGAAUACCCGCUGAACUUAA